UCUGCAAACUGUGGAAAAACAGGCUCUGUGUUAUCUGAUUUCUGUGUCAUCUAACAGACUUACAGACCUCAAACCAUCAUUAAGAGGGUUGGACACAGCCACAGCUCUUAUGCAUACCUGGCUUUGUCCUAGAAAUAUAUUAUUUCCAAAAAACAAGCACAAAUUUAUGAAAGCUUUACUCAUCAGUGGCAAGGUGGCUCAUCUCCACCCUCCCUGAGAGGCUUAUCCUUGAGAUUGUAGUAAACAGAAAGCAAUAUUUAUUAGAUAUGUGUUUUGUCCUUGAGUUUGAUUUUUGCAUUUAGUUUUUACAACCCUCCUAUGAAAGCAGUUUCAGGGACAUGGAUGUACCUCAGUGUCGUUUGUAUCCCUAAGUAAAAAUAUCUAAGAAUAUUUACAAAAUCCAGUGUAAAUGGUUAAGGACAUUUAUUUCUGUUCGUACAACAAAUAUACAGUUUAUAUUCCUGACAGCAAUGGUGCAGAAUAUGAGAGGAAGAUUUGUCAGGCAGAGACCAAAAUUGAUUGUGUAGACACAGUGAUCAGUAAAAUUUCAAAUGGUAAGUAAAUAUCAAACAUGAAUCAAUAAAGAUUUCCUUCAAUUAGUAAUUCUUUUCCUAUUUACACUGGUAGGAUGCGUUUAAGUGCUGUCAACCCUUUAACUGUGUGUUAAGGUUCGGUGCCUGGUCCUGUCAGUGUCACUGGGUUGGACCUCCCUCCUGGCCACUUGCAGUGCUGCUGGAUCAGCUGUGUCCAAAGCACCCAGUGUUUGCUUCACCUGGAGAAGGGGAGCACUGCUGGGCUCCAGUGAGCGUAAACACCACACCCUUUCCUUACCCAUUUUCAGUGUCACAGGGAGGUUUUUUCUAUUAGAAAAUAGGAAAUGUAAAGUACACACGAAUCAGAUUGCAAAUAAUCCUUCUAAGUGAUUAGUGAUAGAGAUGAAGAAACCUCAUGGUUUACCGAUCAGAAGAAAGAACCAAAUUAAUAAAUACUUAAUUACAUGGUGGCAGGGUGGGGGUUAACCAGUGAAAGAGACCUGGGGGAUUACAGGAUGAUCUUCAUAGCUGCAGCCUCUGGAGAAGGCUCUCUUCAAACAAGAGUUUGAAGGAGCUGGAGGAUCUCUUCAAACAAGACCCUGCAGAGGCUCCACUUGUUCCUCCCAGGAAUGACUGCAUGGUAGGGUAGGCACCAGCACUUGUGCUGUGUAGAAAAGGCGUUUGACAUGACUUCCACUAGACCUCAGCAGUCAUCUUGGCCUUUCACAUUUCAAACUAUUUUUUGUUUCUUCAGGCUGAGCUGAAGGUCUCUUGAAGGCAGGUUUAAGCUCCAAGAAGAAACGAAGAAAAACUGCUCUGUUCCUGUAGAUGUGAGCAGGCGAUCAUGCAGCCGCUGAGGCAUGGGCAGGAAUGACAGAGGUGAAGGCAGGGCUGGCACAACAUCCACCAGAGCCCUUCGCGGCGCCCGGAGGACCCGUGCCCGGGUAACCUGUGUUCGAGCAGGGGACACUCCCCGUGGGCAUGGCUCUGCUGUUGCCGGGUGCGCUGCGGCGGCCGCAGCUCUGCCGAACCGCCAUGCCUGGAGCCGGGCGGGUCGGGGCGGCCGCAGCUCUGCCGAACCGCCAUGCCUGGAGCCGGGCGGGUCGGGUCGGACGCUCCCUAGAGGGUCUCGGCUGCGGGGCUCCGCCUUCCCCUAAAAAGCAUGGGGAGAGCACCCGCCUGCGCGGACUCGCCAAGGCACGGACGGGGUUCGAACCCGUGAUCUUCGGUUUACGAGACCGACGCCUUACCACUUGGCCACCGCGCCUGCGUUAAGGGCUUCUCCUGAUGCCUUUCUAUCGCUGGCGCCACUCCCGCGCGCCCGCCCACGACCCGCCCUCGCGCGCGCCUGGGCUGCCACCUGCCGGGGCGCGCGCUGCCCUGAGGCGCUGAGGGCGCGGCGGCGGCUGAGGGGGCGGAACGGGAGGGAGGGACGGAUUGGGACUGCCACCGCUCCCCGUCUCGUUCUGGCUCUCGCUUUCCCUUCGUCUCCCUCUGGCUCUCCCUCUCUCCCUUUCCUGGAGCUGCCAGGAGUCUCCCCUCCGGCCGUGGAGGCGUUCUGAGGGCAGCGCCCUCUGCAGCGGCCGCCCCGGGGCUGUAAGGGUGCGGUAUCCGGAGACGGCACCCGAGGGGCUGCCUCACAUCAACCAGCACGGCUGAGAGAGGGAGAAAAAAGCGGGAUUAAAGUUUUCCUCCUCCAAGAAAAGAAGCAGGAAUGCAAAACGUUGGGCUAACUAAAUGCACUUGUCUUGGAAGGGGUUCAAGAAUGAUGCAGUAGAUGGCAGAAGGGCCCCACAGUCCUUUUUCUGCACUGAAGACUGGAGACUCACAGCAUUACAUCAGGCAUGCUGGUGAACCGAUUGUGCCCAGGACUUCUGCAUUCUCUGUCCCCCAAGCAGCAAGUGACUGACCUUCCUUGAGACUUUUCUGGCUGUUCACCUCAAGGCAUUCCUUCUCCUUCAGUGGCUUAAGAUCUCCUGCAGGUUCCAGCGUGCCUGCUGCUCCAAGAGCUGCCCUGGCGAGCGAAGCUCCCGGGACCGACUUCCCAACAUCCCGCAGCACGUGGACGAGGAUCAACACACGUCAGGCCCGAACAUAAACAAAGUCGGGAACAUUCAGCUCACUGAAGAGUCCGGGAACUGGAAGCUCCGGGAGUCACUUCCCGGAGAGAAGCCCUGGGGAUGGAACACCGCUCCAAGGAGAGGAAGAGACGCAGGGGUUUAAAGGAUGGCUCCUCUGGGCAUGCUGCCUAUCAGCAAGGGGUAAAGAGAAAUACAGCAACCAAUCAUGGCUUGGCUGCAGUCUCCAUCUCCAUCAGCUCCUGGAGCAACACCAAAGAGAGGCUGUGCUCCAAAGAGGGUGACGCUCCUCAGCCCAGCCCCAGCAGCUGCUGGAGCUCAGAAACAGAAAAGCAGCAAGGGCUGUGGGGGCACGAGCCCCGAUGGGACGGGCACAGCCUCACCUCUGCUGGGCUGACACCCUUCCUACAGACACCAUGUUACUGCAGCAUGGGAACUUGGACAUGAAAAGUGACAUUUAAUUACCAUAUUGAAAGAGAAACUGCAAUCUCACAGUUAAAACACAGCGUCGAUAAACCUACUUAAUUAAGUUUUGUGGUCAAACACAGGGCAAUAAGGAUUUAAAUCAUACAGCUAUUUUUAUUAAGGUAAUUAUACAAAAGCAGAAAAAGAUGAGAAAUAUCAGCAGCUGACUAACCAUGAGUAAUCACCUUGGAUUAUGCAUUAUAACUCACUAUUACUAUUCAUUUCUUUAAAAAACAGUGUGCAGAAGUAUCUGACAAAACUGAGGUCCUGUCAUGCUUCUCACUGUUCCAGUACCUGGAAUAAUGUGUUUCUUCCAGGAGCACAGAGUCCUCCUGGACUGGUUGAUAGUGCAGAAAAAUAUCCACUUUUAUUAAAUAACUGAGAUUAAAAUUUUGUAACUGUCUGCUCUAGCUAAAUUAACAUCACUGAACAGACACCAAAAGACGUCCAGAAACUCAUUUAACACUUCUGCAUAUUUUGAUGACAAUGCUACAUUGAGAUGAUCUUUACUAAUUCUUCAGAGGAAAUCAUUAAAUCUUAAGUCUUUGGACUGAUCCAAAAAUGAAAAAUGAAUAAGCUACAAUGGCAAAUGCACAUCAUCCACAAGGUAAUGUAUAGAGAAUUACUUGUACCUGGACAGAGGCUGGGGAUGAGUCAGGAGAAUCCCUGAUGAUACAUUCCCUCCACUGCUACCUCCAGGCAGGAAAAAAAAAUCACAGUAAUUGGUAAUGGGAGCUGAGCCCUGCUAAGUGCAAAUGAAUUACCCUGCAGUGUGGGGCUGUGAGGAAUAAAGGCAGCCUCCCACAGCUCCAUUAAAAUGUGGGGAAACUAAAGCCUACCCUGUCGCUGUGCAGGGCCAUAGAGAUGAUUUAUGAAUUCUUUUCUUACAUUACUGCCUUCUCAAACUAACCUGUUCAAACAAGAGUUUGUGAAAUCUGGGCUACACAAAAACCUUCACUGGAAAAAAUCUACCUAGGAGCAAUGCUGUGAAGCUUAGUGUUUAAAUACCUUAAGGUUUCAUACAAAUGUUUUAAGUAAUUGUAAAUAUUACAACUAUCUUCUGUAUUCACAUUUCAAGGGCUUUAAAAUUAUAAUAAUAGAAUUUAUUCAAAAUGCUAAACUUUUUACAAAUAUUUUAAAUAUAGCAAGCAAAGGUUCAAUAUGCACAACAGUCAUCACUGAAACAGAACUCAUACCUUCAGACAGAAGUGAUGUUUAAAUUGUUUACUGAUUAUAUAGAACUGUUCAACUAUGUCAUUUACCUUUAAGAGACAGUUGAGAAACUCCAUAGUGUGCCCCAGAACCAAUAAAUCGGUCUGAGGGACCAAAGAAAAAGUAAGUAAAGUCUAACAAUAGCUGCCUCUUAAAGGUACCACCCAGUCAACACCCUCCACUUUUAAGGAGAAGUCUGAACUGCAAUUCCACCCUGCAUGAGAGAUGUCCAUCUCUAGAGAGCUGUUUAAGACAGGCAUGGAAGCAAACCAUGCUGAUAACCCACCCUGAUAACCCAGGGCAGCCUUCAAUUCACCUGCUACUGACCCGAGGCUUCAUAAACAGAAGCUAUGCUGUGUUAACUUGCAGUGUUUGCAGCAGAGUUCAUAAAGAUUUGUGCUGAAAACUCAGAAUCAUGAGAAGACAAUGAUUUAUUUAAUCUACAACUAAAUCCAUCAUCCCUAAGAGCUGCUGCCUGAGCACUCAGCAGCAACCAGAAUUCUGGCCACAAUACCUGAAGUGUAGAAAACAUUGACCCAUAACUUGUUGUAAGUGAAGGACUUCAGGCACAGUCCUCAACAACUUUUUACUUUUAAUCACCAUAUGAGCAGGCAUAAUUUGAUUUAAUCUCAUAUUUUCUGUGGAUAUUCUUAAUAAACAAUGCUCCUCUUAAGGCAACAUUAAGUGGUUCAGCUGGUUCCACUUGAUUAAAUAAAUACAAAGCUGUCAUAGCACAUAUCCUCACUAGUUCUAUUAAAAUAAAGAGCUUCAUAAAAAUACUUAAAACUAGAUAGGCAAAACAUGAACUUGUUUACAUGUUACUGUAUGUGGAAAUACGUUGUAUGCAAAUGGUCAGAAAAAUCUAAAUAUGACAUUCCUAUUUUUCAGUCUGUGAAGAUAAUGUUGAUUGUCAAUAUUCUAAAUUUGUUUUUAUACUCUAAUUUAAAAAGCUGACAUUAACACUUGGAACAAAUACAUUUAGGCUGAGUUUAUAAAGCAACACAAGGUCAGUUUUACACCUAAAUUUAGCAGGGCAAAGAAACAAAAAAACCAACCAAACAACAGCUAUCUGCAUUAGUGUGGUGUGCAAACAAAUGAUGCUCCUAGUUUCUUACCCUCAUAAAUAUCUACAUAUUUAAAUAAUGUUUUUUUUUUCCAAUGAAACAUUGUGACAUAUGUCUUCCAAAGCAACUUACUUGAAUUCCAAUUAGCAAAAAUCCCAAAGUUGUUAAUUUCAGUUUUAAUAUGAAGUGUUUUGCAGGAGCGUUUGAGUAAUUGCGACAUCAACUCAGAUUAACCUGCUCAAAAGGAAGUUUAGUUCUUCUGGCCUAUGACAGAACUUUGUGAAAGGAAUUAGUAAGGUCCCAUGUGCUCCAUGAUUUUCUGUGGCCAGCAAACAUAAGGGGUAGCCUGAAGAAUCUUUUUAUGUAAUUGAAGUUGCCAAUAUAGGAAAAAAUCAAAACCCAAAUGGUUGUUUUAGUAUAAUAAAGGCACUUGAUAGCUCAGACAAUACUUCCUAACUUUUAUCCAUGUAACAGAUCAUAAUCUUUCCCUAUGUGUUCAGAGACCUCUGAUAUCCAAAAUAGCGGUCCAUCUUAAAAAUGAAUGUUGGUCAAGUUCUUAAGGCAUUUCAGGAAAGGUUAGAUGACUCCAUGAUUUCAUUUGUUUGCUUGGAUACUGCGAGAGGUUCCCAUUUAUGACUAAGCUGCAGGUGCUACUCUGUUUAUUUUACUGCCUGCAAACCAAGCCUUUGAAUUGAACAAAGCAAGGAAAGCACAAGGAUUCAAACCAAAGAGGAAGGAACUGCAGGACUGCCUCCCGUUGAACGUGCUGCUUUCUACCUCCUGUCAGAAGUGGGACUGAACACUGCACAAUCAUUUCUAGUAGAUGAGAUUUCUAGAAAAAUCUAUACUUUGCUUCUUUUUACAUCCACACACUUUACAAAGAUUUGCAAAGUUUUAUUACUGAAAUUUGGUUAUUAAUUAUUGUAAUUAAUUUAUUAUUGUAAUAUUUGGGGUUAAAUUUGUCUUUAAAAA